AUGCUCCUUCGGCAGCACAUUUACUAAGAUUGGAAUGAUACAGAGAAGAUUAGCAUGGCCCCUGUGCAAGGAUGGCACAUGAACACAUGGAUCUCAUUGUAU
ensembl:snRNA U6 U6 spliceosomal RNA